GCUUUGUUCGGGGUUAAAUUAAGGAUUAGCUGAAGUUAUUUUUAGAGAUUGCUGUUUAAUAAUUCACAAACUCCAGUAAACCGAGAGAGGAAGAAUAACUUCGCCAUCAAUCGUUUUAUUUUGAAAGGAGCGGCUGGUUAGCAUUGUGUGCUAGCAGGGCUCGCUGUGUCUCCGCUGUGUCUUACGAUGACAGCUCAAACAAAACAUUAGCAUCGAUGCUAACGUAAAACGAUGCGGUGUGACUAAUUAAUGCGAUAAUUAUCCACUUUGGGGGCUAAUUACUAGCCAGUUUGCUAACGACUUGUUAGCAUCGUUAGCCGCGCUGCCAACAACAACAACAGCAGCUGUCAACACUAGAUAGCUCCCCGUUAGCAACCCGCACAGUUUCACCGCAAAAAGCGUCAAACUAGAGGCAGUUACUAUGGAAACAAACGCCCCGAAGAGAAGAGACAACAAGAAGUCACUGCGGGUGAAAGUCAUCAGCCUCGGAAACGCCGAGGUCGGAAAGAGCUGCAUUAUUAAACGCUACUGUGAGAAGAGGUUCGUUCCCAAGUACUUGGCCACUAUUGGCAUCGACUAUGGCGUCACCAAAGUGCAGGUUCGUGAUCGAGAAAUCAAAGUGAACAUCUUCGACAUGGCUGGUCAUCCCUUCUUCUACGAAGUGCGUAAUGAGUUCUACAAGGACAGUCAGGGGGUGCUGCUGGUCUACGACGUCGGCCUCAGGGAGAGUUUCGACGCCCUCGACAGCUGGCUGGGGGAGAUGAAACAGGAAAUGGGCUCUCAGGCUAACAUGGACAGCAUCGUGUUCGUCGUCUGCGCCAACAAGGUGGACCUGACGAAGCGCCGCGUGGUGGACGAGGGGGAGGGCCGUCUGUGGGCGGAGUCCAGAGGGUUUCAUUACUUCGAAACGUCGGCACAGAGCGGGGAGGGCAUCAACGAGAUGUUCCAGGCGUUCUUCUCGUCCAUCACCGAUAUGUGUGAGAACGGCGGGAAGCGCCCGGUGUCCGAGGUCAGCGUCGGCUUCACCAAAGAGCAGGCCGACACCAUCCGACGCAUCCGAAACAGCAAGGACUCCUGGGAUAUGCUCGGCGUCAAACCGGGUGCCACGCGGGAGGAGGUGAACAAGGCGUACAGGAAGUUAGCCGUCCUGUUGCACCCGGACAAAUGCGUCGCCCCCGGCAGCGAGGACGCCUUUAAGGCCGUGGUGAACGCCCGCACCUCGCUACUGAAGAACAUUAAAUAACAGAAACACAGAGCUGAAACCUCGCAGAGAGAUCGGACCUCACUCGGACACGGACUGAAGAAUGACACACAGCCAGCGGCGGGGUCAAAGGUCAGCGUUCAGACCGUCAAACUAAACAAAGUCAGUGACGUUACAAACCUGUUUAAAGCGCCGUAUUAAUCUCAGCCUGGUUGCCAAAAUGCAUGUUUGAUAUUAACUUUUAUACUUUCCAUGUGGCCAAACCUGCCAACCCCUCGCCCCAGUCGUCCCUCCACAAACAACCUGCCCCCUGCUGAUGACAUCACCGGCCCCUGGGUGAUGAUUGGUCAAUGCAGCUACUAAACUAAUAUUAAUACUAAGGUCUAAAGACAAAGGCCGACUGGUUCACUGUGAGGUGUUUGAGACUAUAAACCUUGCACAGGAACCAGUUAGCUGCUGUUUACAGGAUGGGGAGGAGGGGGGGGUAAUGUGUUCCCUCAAAUUCCUUAUUUUGUUCCCUACAACUGUCCAUAUGAUUACAUUUCUAAUCUGUUCCCCCAGAUUGUGAAAUUGUGCCCUCAAAUCCCAAUUUUUCAUUAAAACUGCCAUACCUUAAGUGACUCAUUUGUUCCCUUAAGGGACUCAUUUGUUCCCUUCAUUUACUUUUUUUACAUUGACUGAUUUGUGCUCAUUUUAUCUGACUAAACCUUUCAUUUGUUCCCUAAUUUGUGCCAUUAUAUAUCUUCUUUCUCUCAAGUAGUGAUGUGUUCCCUAAGGUUUGGGUAGGUGACCAAUGCGUUACCUCAAGUUACCAAUCCAUCACAUUUGUAAUUUGUUCCCAUAAAUGGGCACAUUACCACAUAUUCCAGAUUUGGUUACCACUAAUGGCUAAUUUGUUCCCUUAAGAAUGUUUUCCCUUAAUUGUGUAAUUAGUUUUAUUCAGUAGUUCCCUGAAAUUGCUAACUGCCCUACAAUACUGUUUGUCUUUCAAAUUCUGUUCCCUCAGAUUACUUGUUUACUUAAUUUAUUAAUUUAUGCUUUUAAACUUAAAUGAACAGAAUUAAAAUGUUGUGAUUUAAAUUCACAAUUUGUGACAAAUGUGUUCCCAUAAAUUACUAAUUUGUUCCAUUAUAUUUAUAAUCUGUUCCCUUAAGUUCUAAUUUGGUCCUAAAUAGAUUCCUAUUUUUUUUGUUGAAAAUGUGUCAUUUGUUCCCUCAACUGUUCCCUCCCAUUGGUAAUUUGUUUCCUUAAGUGUCCUAUUUUAUUAUCUAAAAUUUCAUCAGCCCUAAAUUAAUAUCUUGUUCCCUUAAGUGACAGUUACUGCACGAUGGUAUUAGUACUAUUAAUAAUUAUUUUGUGCCCUCGACUCUAUUUUUUCUCAUUACAUUUCUACUUAACUUGUUCCCUUAAGUUCUUGUUGUUCCAUCUAACCUACAAACUGUUCCCUAAAUAGUUCUCUCAUAACACCAAAUACUUUUUGUUCCCUGAAAUAAGUAAGUUGUUCCCUUACCCAACUAAAAGCAUGUGAUUUGAUUCUUUCUUUUUCUCACAUGUAAUUUGCUGUUGUUAUUUAACAAAAUAUACAUUUUAUAAGCUGCA